UGCGGGAUAGAGCAGCUUGGUAGCUCGCAAAACUCAUAACCUUGAGGUCACGGGUUCAAAUCCUGUCUCUGCAA
rnacentral:tRNA from 1 species